UCCGGAGGGUGCGAGCGUUGUCCGGAAUCAUUGGGCGUAAAGGGCGCGUAGGUGGCCUGUUAAGCGUGCGGUGAAAGCUCGGGGCUCAACCCCAAGUCGGCCGUGCGAACUGGGAGGCUGGAGCACUGUAGAGGCAGGCGGAAUUCCGGGUGUAGCGGUGGAAUGCGUAGAGAGCCGGAAGAACAGCGGUGGCGAAGGCGGCCUGCGGGGCAGUUGCUGACACUGAGGCGCGACAGCGUGGGGAGCAAACAGG
rnacentral:rRNA from 1 species